rnacentral:rRNA from 1 species
UGGGGGAUAUUGCACAAUGGGGGAAACCCUGAUGCAGCGACGCCGCGUGAGGGAAGACGGUUUUCGGAUUGUAAACCUCUGUCCCGGGGGACGAUAAUGACGGUACCCCGGGAGGAAGCCACGGCUAACUACGUGCCAGCAGCCGCGGUAAUACGUAGGUGGCAAGCGUUGUCCGGAAUUACUGGGUGUAAAGGGAGCGCAGGCGGGAAUAUAAGUCAAGUGUUAAAUUUAUCGGCUCAACCGAUAAACGCGCUUGAAACUAUAUUUCUUGAGUGAAGUAGAGGUAGGCGGAAUUCCUAGUGUAGCGGUGAAAUGCGUAGAUAUUAGGAGGAACACCAGUGGCGAAGGCGGCCUACUGGGCUUUAACUGACGCUGAGGCUCGAAAGUGUGGGGAGCAAACA